AUGGGUCCUGGUGCACUGGUGGCUUUCGGGCGCCGGAGGCGCGAAGACGACGGCAGCGACGCGCACAGAACUCCAGCGAGGCGAUGCAGAUGCGGGGGAGACGGUAGCGGGCGGCCGGUGGCGGGCUUGAGCUCCUUGCAGCUUCCAUGGCGUUCUCCUACGAGAACAGAGAGGACGGGAGAUGCUAGAGUGAUAAAGAGAAGAGGAACCAAGGGAGGAAGGGGACAAGAGGAGAAGGGAGGCGAGGCCGGCCUGGGAGUGCUGGUCGCCGACGGCGACAUGGUCAUGGAUGAGGGGGAGGUUGCGGCCUCGGACGCCCGCGGGCGCAGGGACACGUGA
rnacentral:rRNA from 1 species